rnacentral:rRNA from 1 species
ACGAACGCUGGCGGCGUGCCUAAUACAUGCAAGUCGAACGCUUCUUUUUCCACCGGAGCUUGCUCCACCGGAAAAAGAGGAGUGGCGAACGGGUGAGUAACACGUGGGUAACCUGCCCAUCAGAAGGGGAUAACACUUGGAAACAGGUGCUAAUACCGUAUAACAAUCGAAACCGCAUGGUUUUGAUUUGAAAGGCGCUUUCGGGUGUCGCUGAUGGAUGGACCCGCGGUGCAUUAGCUAGUUGGUGAGGUAACGGCUCACCAAGGCGACGAUGCAUAGCCGACCUGAGAGGGUGAUCGGCCACAUUGGGACUGAGACACGGCCCAAACUCCUACGGGAGGCAGCAGUAGGGAAUCUUCGGCAAUGGACGAAAGUCUGACCGAGCAACGCCGCGUGAGUGAAGAAGGUCUUCGGAUCGUAAAACUCUGUUGUUAGAGAAGAACAAGGAUGAGAGUAACUGUUCAUCCCUUGACGGUAUCUAACCAGAAAGCCACGGCUAACUACGUGCCAGCAGCCGCGGUAAUACGUAGGUGGCAAGCGUUGUCCGGAUUUAUUGGGCGUAAAGCGAGCGCAGGCGGUUUCUUAAGUCUGAUGUGAAAGCCCCCGGCUCAACCGGGGAGGGUCAUUGGAAACUGGGAGACUUGAGUGCAGAAGAGGAGAGUGGAAUUCCAUGUGUAGCGGUGAAAUGCGUAGAUAUAUGGAGGAACACCAGUGGCGAAGGCGGCUCUCUGGUCUGUAACUGACGCUGAGGCUCGAAAGCGUGGGGAGCAAACAGGAUUAGAUACCCUGGUAGUCCACGCCGUAAACGAUGAGUGCUAAGUGUUGGAGGGUUUCCGCCCUUCAGUGCUGCAGCUAACGCAUUAAGCACUCCGCCUGGGGAGUACGACCGCAAGGUUGAAACUCAAAGGAAUUGACGGGGGCCCGCACAAGCGGUGGAGCAUGUGGUUUAAUUCGAAGCAACGCGAAGAACCUUACCAGGUCUUGACAUCCUUUGACCACUCUAGAGAUAGAGCUUCCCCUUCGGGGGCAAAGUGACAGGUGGUGCAUGGUUGUCGUCAGCUCGUGUCGUGAGAUGUUGGGUUAAGUCCCGCAACGAGCGCAACCCUUAUUGUUAGUUGCCAUCAUUUAGUUGGGCACUCUAGCAAGACUGCCGGUGACAAACCGGAGGAAGGUGGGGAUGACGUCAAAUCAUCAUGCCCCUUAUGACCUGGGCUACACACGUGCUACAAUGGGAAGUACAACGAGUCGCAAAGUCGCGAGGCUAAGCUAAUCUCUUAAAGCUUCUCUCAGUUCGGAUUGUAGGCUGCAACUCGCCUACAUGAAGCCGGAAUCGCUAGUAAUCGCGGAUCAGCACGCCGCGGUGAAUACGUUCCCGGGCCUUGUACACACCGCCCGUCACACCACGAGAGUUUGUAACACCCGAAGUCGGUGAGGUAACCUUUUGGAGCCAGCCGCCUAAGGUGGGAUAGAUGAUUGGGGUG